ACAAUUUAUUGUUCGUUCGUCGAACGUUUUGAAGAUGCUCGAAAUUGUCUAAAGUUUCUACGAGUCGCGCAAGGACAAUUAACGAGACUUACAGAGAAAACAUGAAAAGAAAGAAUGCGACGAAGUAAAAGGGAUGCAGUAGACAUUACGUGAACAUAGUUCAGAUGAGAUCGAAAGGCUCGCGUCGACGCCAAAGGUUUCUGGCAUCGUUGCAAUCUGUGUGUUCGUUCACCGGCAGGAAUUCUCUUUGGAAUUCCUUUAGGAAAUUGUUACGGGGAAGCACGCUGCUCGUCAGAGUGCAGAUUUUAAAGGACGCUCUGUACAACAGGUCCCGGUCCCGUAGGAUCCCUUCUCUCAAUAAUUAACGCAUGACCUGUUGUCACGUGAAUCACGGAACUAUAACGAACGCGUAUACACGAAUAAACAUUAAAUGACACGACGCAAAAUUACUCAGCCAUCGCGCUGAGACAACAAGUAUCUCUUUCUUGACUCUGAGCUGAUAAACACUACCGUGGCCAAAGAAUGACUUCGUCGUGGCCGGAGAGAGGAAAAUUUCCAUGAACGUCCGGCCUCCUAUUAUUUCCAUCGGAGAGAAUACAGCUACGUACACGACCGUCUAUUUAACUUUUAAAGAAUCACUGCUACGCCAGCUGCGAUUUCACGAGGGCAACUCUAGGCAGCCUUGGGAACCAAUCCGGUACGAUGCGUCUUCGCUAAGCGUUGCGAUUGAUCGAGAAGAGUUCCAAUAUUAAGAUUUUUCGUUCCACACAUCGGCUCAUGCAGAAUAAAAAAAAUGACUGGUGUCGGUGUUAAGGACACUCAUCGCUGGUGUCGAUCAUGUGUUGGAUGACCAACCAAGCCUGGCAAUAUUGGCUCAAUACUUAAAGUGAUCUGUACUUAUUCAUACAGCAAAUUUCGAUUGAAGUACUCUUAAAGUGAUCUGUACUUAUUCAUACAGCAAAUUUCGAUUGAGGUGACUGACAGUCGACUGACGACUGAGUUCAUAAGAUAAUAUUGACUGAUAUUUGAUGAUUAAUUUUCUACUUUGAUUAAAAUGGUAAAAACAUGUUCUUAUCUGAUUAUGUUCCUUUUGACUAUGUCCUUUUUUGUGCUCUUUCUCAUCUGACUGUUCUAUCUUGUGUUCCUUUUU